UGAUGGAGUUAAGCGUGCUUGGGCGAGAGUAGUUAAGCGUGCUUGGGCGAGAGUAGUACUAGGAUGGGUGACCCCCUGGGAAGUCCUCGUGUUGCAACCC
rnacentral:rRNA from 1 species